GACAAUGCAAAGCAAGGUCAGGCAUGGAAGC
rnacentral:piRNA from 1 species